AGAUAAACCAACCAAUUCUAGAGGGAAGGGGACCAAACCUUUAUAGCCUAAUAGCCAAAAUCUAAUUUGGAGAUUUGGAGUAAAUAAAUUCUCACAGUCACAUUUAAUUACAUUUUCUCAAGAAAUUUGUAAAGCCGUCGCUGUCGCUGUCGCAUGAGCUCAAAUUCAUAGAUCACAGACACAAGAACCUUAUCAAACAAAAACACAAGGCUAAAAUGAAAAUGGGCUUAUCUUCUUACGCAAUUAGACCCAUUUCAGCUCCGAAAGAGAAGAAGAAACAGAGCUUUGAAACCAACAACAAUGGCGACCCUGGGUUGCCAGUUUCCCUUUACAGUGUAUAAGAACUCAAAGAAGAAGAGACCAGGAUCUUCAAUUCUCUGCUCAGUACAACCAUCUCAGGGAAAUAUCAAGGUCAUUAUAAAUGGAGCAGCCAAAGAAAUUGGAAGAGCUGCAGUUAUUGCAGUGACAAAGGCAAGAGGAAUGGAAGUUGCUGGUGCUGUCGAUUCACAUUGUGUAGGAGAAGACAUUGGAAAGGUGUGUGACAUGGAAGAACCUCUGGAAUUACCCAUAUUAAAUGAUCUCACCAUGGUUUUAGGUUCAAUAUCUCAGUCAAAGGAAACAGGAGUAGUUGUUGAUUUUACCGAACCUUCUAAAGUAUAUGAGAACGUGAAGCAGGCAACUGCAUUUGGCAUGAGAAGUGUGGUUUAUGUUCCUAGAUUAAAAGUAGACACAGUGGCUGCUUUAUCUAACUUCUGUGAGAAAGCUAGCAUGGGUUGUCUUGUCGCCCCAACUCUGUCCAUUGGCUCUAUCCUCCUCCAGCAAGCUGCAAUUUCAGCUUCAUUUCAUUAUAGCAAUAUAGAGAUAGUGGAAUCCACAGCGCAUGCACAGGAUCUCCCAUCUUCAGAUGCAGCCCAAAUAGCCAACAACCUCUCAAACUUGGGCCAGAUCUACAACAGAGAAGAUAUUUCAACAGAUGUGCUGGCAAGGGGGCAGGUUAUUGGAGAAGACGGAGUUCGAGUGCACAGUCUAGUCCUUCCGGGGCUUCCUUCCAGCACCAAUGUCUACUUCUCACGCCCGGGAGAGGUGAGUUCUAGCUUGUGUUUGCGUUCUUGUUUAACUAAAAUUGAAAGAAGUGGCGCGAGUUCGAGAUGUGGAACUGGUUUACACUCUCAAACAUGAUAUCAUAAAUGUGCAAUGCCUCAUGCCAGGCUUAUUAUUGGCAAUUAGAAAAGUGGUGCGCCUUAAGAAUCUGGUGUAUGGCUUGGAGAAAUUUUUGUAGAACUUCGAAGACUCUCCCCUGGUAGCUCUAUCUGAAACUUUCACCUCCACUUUUCAUUGGACAGAGUGACCAUCUUGACCUGAUAACAAAAAGGAAAUAAAGUCAGGAGUUCAAGUUAGAGAGAAUUGAAAGAGAAUAUUUUGUUUUUCGUUUUCCUUGUGUACAUGAAAUUAAAUUAUUUCGUUCUUAAAAGGAUUCCAGACACAUUUUUUCUUCCAUUACCAAUUUCCUUUCCUCAGGAAACUUAAAAAGAUGUCUGUAACUUAUGCUCCCUGAUAGAUUGUAUCACAGCUAACUGUGAACCCGCUGAGACUUAAUGGCGACCUCAGGAGCUCAUUCUCUAUUCCUACCCAGAAAAAUCUUCAAUAUUCUAAAUUUGGAGAGAGUAUAAAAAAUUUCAGCUUAAUGUGAAA